GAUGUGCUCAGGGUGAGGGCUGACGAUGCCGAUGUCUCUCCAGAAAACAACAGAAUUACGUAUUCAAUACUGUCUCCAGUACCAGAUGACUUUGAAGUGAGACAGGACGGUAACAUCAGGUUGAAACAACGUCUGAACUACAACAAUGUUCAACAGUACAUCUUCACUGUGAAAGCUGAAGAUAAAGGAGGACUCAGU